rnacentral:lncRNA from 1 species
AGUUCCCCUGAUUCUUUUCUACUGUUGCCUACUCUCUUCUCUGACUUGACCGUCAGAGGACCUCCGUCGGAGGCAUCUCCGGUCAGUGUGGACUUUUCUUAUAGGUGCUCGUUUCCGACGAUCAGGCGAUGAGAGAAUUGACCGCAACACAACCCAUGAUGAAGCAAGAGCUAUUGUGAGGAAAACACAGCCUCACAUGUAAGCUGAGGGCAUGUGAGGUGAGGUCGUUUCAUCACAAGCCAAGCCAUGCGAGUGAUAGUCUAACAAUCCGACUUUAGAGAUUGAAUUUUUUCAAUCUCCAUAAAGCUACUGGAAUCAUUCAUGAUAACCCUACAACACAAACAUUUAGAGGACUUCCAAGUGCAAUGUGCUACUUCCAGGCACCUUCUCAAGUUUGAAGCGCACCACCCGAAGGUGAUGCUUAUGUUGACAGGUAGAAGAAAUAUUGUGAUGACAAUGACCUAAACCAAACCAAAUCAGGACCC